GAUGAACGCUGGCGGCGUGCCUAAUACAUGCAAGUCGAGCGAACAGACGAGGAGCUUGCUCCUCUGACGUUAGCGGCGGACGGGUGAGUAACACGUGGAUAACCUACCUAUAAGACUGGGAUAACUUCGGGAAACCGGAGCUAAUACCGGAUAAUAUAUUGAACCGCAUGGUUCAAUAGUGAAAGACGGUUUUGCUGUCACUUAUAGAUGGAUCCGCGCCGCAUUAGCUAGUUGGUAAGGUAACGGCUUACCAAGGCGACGAUGCGUAGCCGACCUGAGAGGGUGAUCGGCCACACUGGAACUGAGACACGGUCCAGACUCCUACGGGAGGCAGCAGUAGGGAAUCUUCCGCAAUGGGCGAAAGCCUGACGGAGCAACGCCGCGUGAGUGAUGAAGGUCUUCGGAUCGUAAAACGCUGUUAUUAGGGAAGAACAAAUGUGUAAGUAACUAGGCACGUCUUGACGGUACCGAAUCAGAAAGCCACGGCUAACUACGUG
rnacentral:rRNA from 1 species